CCUACGGGAGGCAGCAGUGGGGAAUUUUGGACAAUGGGCGCAAGCCUGAUCCAGCCAUGCCGCGUGUGGGAAGAAGGCCUUCGGGUUGUAAACCACUUUUGUCAGGGAAGAAACGGUUUGUCCUAAUACGGCGGACUAAUGACGGUACCUGAAGAAUAAGCACCGGCUAACUACGUGCCAGCAGCCGCGGUAAUACGUAGGGUGCAAGCGUUAAUCGGAAUUACUGGGCGUAAAGCGUGCGCAGGCGGCUUUGCAAGACAGAUGUGAAAUCCCCGGGCUCAACCUGGGAACUGCAUUUGUGACUGCAUGGCUAGAGUACGGUAGAGGGGGAUGGAAUUCCGCGUGUAGCAGUGAAAUGCGUAGAUAUGCGGAGGAACACCGAUGGCGAAGGCAAUCCCCUGGACCUGUACUGACGCUCAUGCACGAAAGCGUGGGGAGCAAACAGGAUUAGAUACCCUGGUAGUCCACGCCCUAAACGAUGUCAACUGGUUGUUGGACGGCUUGCUGUUCAGUAACGAAGCUAACGCGUGAAGUUGACCGCCUGGGGGAGGUACGGCCGGCGAGGUUAGUAAACGUUAAAGGUAAAGUUAGUACGGCGUGAGACGUAGCCGAACGGACGACGACGAGGGAGGUUAGGG
rnacentral:rRNA from 1 species